rnacentral:rRNA from 1 species
GCAGUCGCCGCGGGAAUACGGAGGGUGCAAGCGUUAAUCGGAAUUACUGGGCGUAAAGCGCACGCAGGCGGUCUGUCAAGUCAGAUGUGAAAUCCCCGGGCUUAACCUGGGAACUGCAUUUGAAACUGGCAGGCUAGAGUCUUGUAGAGGGGGGUAGAAUUCCAGGUGUAGCGGUGAAAUGCGUAGAGAUCUGGAGGAAUACCGGUGGCGAAGGCGGCCCCCUGGACAAAGACUGACGCUCAGGUGCGAAAGCGUGGGGAGCAAACAGGAUUAGAUACCCGGGUAGUCCCUGUCUCUUAUAC